rnacentral:lncRNA from 1 species
AUGUCUCACAGGAAGUUCUCUGCUCCCAGACAGGGGUCCCUGAGCUUCCUGCCUGGGAGGCAUGGCAGCAGGCAUCAUGGGAAGGUGAAGAGCUUCUCCAAGCUUGACCCUUCCCAGUCAGUCCACUUCAUGGUAUUUCUGGUUUACAAGGCUGGCAUGACCUACAUUGUGUGGGAAGUCUGUAGGCCAGGAUCCAAGGUGAACAAGAGGGAAGUAGAAGCUGGGCCAUUGUGAAAAUGCCACCCAUGGUGGUUGUAGGAAUUGUGGGCUAUGUGGAAACUCCUUGAGGCUUCCAGACCUUCAAGACCACCUUUGCUGAGCACAUCCAGGAUUAGUACAAGAGGUGCUUCUAUAAGAACUGGCAUAAAUCUGAGAAGAAGGCCUUUACCGAGUACUGCAAGAAAUGGCAGGAUGAGGAUGGUGAAAAGCAGCUGGAGAAGAACUUCAACAGCAUGAAAAAGUACUGCCAAGUCAUCUGCAUCAUUGCUCACACCCAGAUGUGCCUGCUUCCUCUAUGCCGGAAGGCACCUGAUGGAGAUGCAGAUGAAUGGAAGCACUGUGACCGAGAAAUGAGAGUAGUCCCAGAAGAGUCUAGAGCAGCAAGUACCUGUGAACCAAGUGUUUGGGCAGUAUGCAAUGAUCAAUGUCACUGGGGUGACCAAGGGCAAAGGCUACAAAGUGGUCACCAGUCAUUGGCACACCAACAAACUGUCCUGGAAGACCCACUAAGGGCUGCACAAGGUUGCCUGUGCUGGGGCAUGACAUCCUGUCCAUGUCGUUUUCUCUGUGAUAUGCACCGGGCAGAAAGGCUGCUACCACUGCACUGAGAUCAGCAAGAAUAUGGCAAACUGAUUAAGAACAAUGCAUCCACUGAUUAUGAUCUGUCUGACAAGAGCAUCAAUCCUCUGGAUGGCUUUGUCUAUGGUGAAGUGACCAAUGAGUUUGUCAUGCCGAAAGGCUGUGUGGUGGGAACCAAGAAGUGAGUGCUCAGCCUCUGCAAGUCUUUGCUGGUACAGAGCAGUGUCCUCUGGAGAACACUAACACCACCUCCAAGUUGGCCAUGGCGGCUUCCAGACCCUGGAGGAGAGGAAAGCAUUCAUGGGACCACUCAUGAAAGAUGGAACAGCAGAGGAAGAAGGAGCUUAA